GGCUGCAGUCGAGAAUCUUCCACAAUGGGGGAAACCCUGAUGGAGCGAUGCUGCGUGCGGGAUGAAGGCCUUCGGGUUGUAAACCGCUUUUGUAGGGGACGAAAUUUUUGACGGUACCCUUUCGAAUAAGAGGUUGCUAACUCUGUGCCAGCAGCAGCGGUAAUACAGAGACCUCAAGCGUUAUCCGGAUUUACUGGGCGUAAAGCGUCUGUAGGGGGUUUAUUAAGUUCCAAGUAAAAUUUCAAGGCUCAACUUUGAAUUCGCUUGGAAAACUAAUAAACUGGAGUCUAGCAGAGGUGCAUGGAACUUGUGGUGUAGGAGUGAAAUCCGUUGAUAUCACAAGGAACACCAAAGGCGAAGGCAUUGCACUGGGCUAGCACUGACCCUGAGAGACGAAAGCGUGGGGAGCAAAACGGAUUAGAUACCCGUGUAGUCCACGCCCUAAACGAUGAAUGCUAAAUGUUCGGGGAUUCGACCCCCUGGGUGUUACAGCUAACGCGUUAAGCAUUCCGCCUGGGAAGUACGGCCGCAAGGCUAAAACUCAAAGGAAUAGACGGGGAUCCGCACAAGCGGUGGAGCGUCUGGUUUAAUUCGACAGUAAGCGUGGUACCUCACCAGGGUUUGACAUCCCUUGACAGUCUUGGAAACAAGGUUUCCUUCGGGCAAGGUGACAGGUGCUGCAUGGUCGUCGUCAGUUCGUGCCGUGAGGUGUUCCGUUAAGUCGGGAAACGAACGAAACCCCUAUUGCAUGUUACAAUUUCUCAUGCAAGACUGCCCGGAUAUACUGGGAGGAAGGUGGGGAUGACGUCAGAUCUGCAUGGUCCUUAUACCCUGGGCGACACAGGCGCUACAAUGGCAGAGACAAAGGGUUGCAAAACCGCAAGGUGAAGCUAAUCCCAAAAACUUUGUCUAAGUUCGGAUUGAAGGCUGCAAUUCGCCUUCAUGAAGCUGGAGUCGCUAGUAAUCGUGAAUCAGCCACGUCACGGUGAAUAUGUUCCCGGAUCUUGUACUCACCGUCCGUCACACCAAGAGAGUUGGUAGCUCCCGAAGC
rnacentral:rRNA from 1 species